rnacentral:rRNA from 1 species
ACUACGGGAGGCAGCAGUAGGGAAUAUUGCUCAAUGGGGGAAACCCUGAAGCAGCAACGCCGCGUGGAGGAUGAAGGUUUUCGGAUUGUUAACUCCUUUUGUUAGAGAAGAUAAUGACGGUAUCUAAAGAAUAAGCAAGGUCUAACUCAGUGCCAGCAGCCGCGGUAAUACGGAGGGCGCCAGCGUUACUCGGAAUCACUGGGCGUAAAGAGUGCGUAGGCGGGAAAGUAAGUCAGAUGUGAAAACAUUGGGCUUAACCAUAGAACUGCAUUUGAAACUGUUAUUCUAGCGUAAGGGAGAGGUAGGUGGAAUUCGUGGUGGAGGGGUGAAAUCCGUAGAGAUCAAGAGGAAUACUCAUUGCGAAGGCGACCUGCUAGCACAUAACUGACGCUGAUGCGCGAAAGCGUGGGGAGCAAACAGGAUUAGAUACCCUAGUAGUC